rnacentral:rRNA from 1 species
UACAGAGGGUGCGAGCGUUGUCCGGAAUUAUUGGGCGUAAAGAGCUCGUAGGCGGUUUGUCGCGUCGACUGUGAAAACCUGGGGCUUAACUCUGGGCCUGCAGUCGAUACGGGCAGACUUGAGUUCGGUAGGGGAGACUGGAAUUCCUGGUGUAGCGGUGAAAUGCGCAGAUAUCAGGAGGAACACCGGUGGCGAAGGCGGAUCUCUGGGCCAUAACUGACGCUGAGGAGCGAAAGCAUGGGGAGCGAACAGG